UGCUUGCAUGCAAGUAGGAAUGGGAUUGGGGCUGCUCCAAUGGGAAGGGAGGCAUCGCGCUGCCUGAGAGAUCCCUACCCCCUCCUGCUCGCAUGCAAGUAGGAGUUGGGAUGGGGCUGCUCCAAAAGGCAGCGUGAAGCCUCCCUUCCCAGCUGAGGGAUCCCUGCCCCCUCCUGCUUGCAUGCAAGU